UAAUACGGGGGGGGCAAGCGUUGUUCGGAAUUACUGGGCGUAAAGGGCUCGUAGGCGGCCGACUAAGUCAGACGUGAAAUCCCUCGGCUCAACUGAGGAAUGGCGUCUGAUACUGGUAGGCUUGAAUCCGGGAGAGGGAUGUGGAAUUCCAGGUGUAGCGGUGAAAUGCGUAGAUAUCUGGAGGAACACCGGUGGCGAAGGCGGCAUCCUGGACCGGUAUUGACGCUGAGGAGCGAAAGCCAGGGGAGCAAACGGG
rnacentral:rRNA from 1 species